rnacentral:rRNA from 1 species
UACGUAGGGGGCUAGCGUUGUCCGGAAUCAUUGGGCGUAAAGAGCGUGUAGGCGGUCCGGUAAGUCCGCUGUGAAAGUCGGGGGCUCAACCCUCGAAUGCCGGUGAAUACUGUCGGGCUAGAGUGCGGAAGAGGCGAGUGGAAUUCCUGGUGUAGCGGUGAAAUGCGCAGAUAUCAGGAGGAACACCUAUUGCGAAGGCAGCUCGCUGGGACGUUACUGACGCUGAGACGCGAAAGCGUGGGGAGCAAACAGG